GCCUGCGCGGUAGUGGGACCCGACCCUGUCUCUAGUGGGCGUCUUGGGCCCGGGCUCUAUUCUGGGCUGUGGGCCUGGGAAGGGCUCGCCGGGUGCCAAAUGAGCUGUCCUAACUCUGCGGGGCUGCAGCUUCCUGCAUGAUGUUGUGGAGCUUGGCGCCUGACCCAGGAUAUAGAAGGCACUCUGGGCAGGCCGCGCUCCGCCCACGAAGGUACCCAACCCUCUGGGAUAGAUGCAGGAACCGAUGGUUAGGACCCAUUUUCACCCAACUUCUCGCCGCAGCUCUGGCUUACCACACGCUCCUCCCCAUUCCCAAUGAGCCGCUUUUUGCAGCACCAGGCAAACACUUACACCAGUGCUUUGUAAAGGAAUCUUAUUGUCCACCCCGUGUCUUGGCAAAAGAACAGUGAUCACACAGAUUCCGACUUGGGCUCUUUCCUUUAAUCUUCGGAGGCUGAGUUUGCCCAGCUCAGGUUUAACCACCAAGGACUCUGAGAGCUGGCAGGUCUGAGUAACCCUGGUAACAAUUCUCUUCACCUUAUCAAAACCUGAGCUAAAACCAAUGCAUCAGCUGAUGAUGACAGCAGAGAGUGGCAGGGCUGAGGACCCAAUAUUCAUUUCCCAGGCUGGCGGAGAGUGAGUAAAUGAGAUUCUAAAACUAAACAAGGGAGGUCAGAGACUCUUUCCAACCUUACUUGAUGGCUUCUGGCCAAAGCAAGGAAGUGUCUUGGAAGAUGUUGGUUGGUGAUGGUGCGAA
rnacentral:lncRNA from 1 species